rnacentral:rRNA from 1 species
UACGUAGGUGGCAAGCGUUGUCCGGAAUUAUUGGGCGUAAAGCGCGCGCAGGCGGUCCUUUAAGUCUGAUGUGAAAGCCCACGGCUCAACCGUGGAGGGUCAUUGGAAACUGGGGGACUUGAGUGCAGGAGAGAAGAGUGGAAUUCCACGUGUAGCGGUGAAAUGCGUAGAGAUGUGGAGGAACACCGGUGGCGAAGGCGCUGCUCUGGGCCGGUACUGACGCUGAGGAGCGAAAGCGUGGGUAGCAAACAGG